rnacentral:rRNA from 1 species
GGGGAAUAUUGCACAAUGGGCGAAAGCCUGAUGCAGCAACGCCGCGUGAGUGAUGAAGGCCUUCGGGUUGUAAAGCUCUGUCUUCUGGGACGAUAAUGACGGUACCAGAGGAGGAAGCCACGGCUAACUACGUGCCAGCAGCCGCGGUAAUACGUAGGUGGCAAGCGUUGUCCGGAUUUACUGGGCGUAAAGGAUGCGUAGGCGGAGACUUAAGUCAGAUGUAAAAGGCACAGGCUUAACUUGUGUAAGCAUUUGAAACUGUACAACUUGAGUGCAGGAGAGGUAAGUGGAAUUCCUAGUGUAGUGGUGAAAUGCGUAGAUAUUAGGAGGAACACCAGUGGCGAAGGCGACUUACUGAACUGUAACUGACGCUGAGUCACGAAAGAGUGGGUAGCAAACA